AACGAACGCUGGCGGCAGGCCUAACACAUGCAAGUCGAGCGCCCCGCAAGGGGAGCGGCAGACGGGUGAGUAACACGUGGGAACCUUCCCUAUAGUACGGAAUAGCCCAGGGAAACUUGGAGUAAUACCGUAUACGCCCGAGAGGGGAAAGAUUUAUCGCUAUAGGAUGGGCCCGCGUAGGAUUAGCUAGUUGGUGAGGUAAUGGCUCACCAAGGCGACGAUCCUUAGCUGGUCUGAGAGGACGACCAGCCACACUGGGACUGAGACACGGCCCAGACUCCUACGGGAGGCAGCAGUGGGGAAUAUUGGGACAAUGGGCGCAAGCCUGAUCCAGCCAUGCCGCGUGAGUGAUGAAGGCCUUAGGGUUGUAAAGCUCUUUUGCCGGGGACGAUAAUGACGGUACCCGGAGAAUAAGUCCCGGCUAACUUCGUGCCAGCAGCCGCCGU
rnacentral:rRNA from 1 species